rnacentral:rRNA from 1 species
UACGGAGGGUGCAAGCGUUAUCCGGAUUCACUGGGUUUAAAGGGUGCGUAGGAGGGCAGGUAAGUCAGUGGUGAAAUCCCCGAGCUUAACUUGGGAACUGCCGUUGAUACUAUCUGUCUUGAAUGUUGUGGAGGUGAGCGGAAUAUGUCAUGUAGCGGUGAAAUGCUUAGAUAUGACAUAGAACACCAAUUGCGAAGGCAGCUCGCUACACGAUUAUUGACUCUGAUGCACGAAAGCGUGGGGAUCAAACAGG